AAUACGACCGUACCGCAAACCGACACUGGUGCGCGAGAUGAGUAUUCUAAGGCGCUUGAGAGAACUCAGGAGAAGGAACUCGGCAAAUUGACACCGUAACUUCGGAAGAAGGUGUGCCCUAUUAGUGUGUAGUGAACAACGAAGCAUGAAUGGGUUGCAAAAAAUCGCUGGCUGCGACUGUUUAUUAAAAACACAGCACUCUGCAAACACGAAAGUGGACGUAUAGGGUGUGACGCCUGCCCGGUGCUGGAAGAUUAAAUGAUGGGGUGCAAGCUCUUGAUUGAAGUCCCAGUAAACGGCGGCCGUAACAAUAACGGUCCUAAGGUAGCGAAAUUCCUUGUCGGGUAAGUUCCGACCUGCACGAAUGGCGUAACGAUGGCCACACUGUCUCCUCCUGAGACUCAGCGAAGUUGAAAUGUUUGUGAUGAUGCAAUCUCCCCGCGGAAAGACGGAAAGACCCCAUGAACCUUUACUGUAGCUUUGUAUUGGACUUUGAACAGAUCUGUGUAGGAUAGGUGGGAGGCUUUGAAGCAGGGUCGCUAGAUCUUGUGGAGCCAACGUUGAAAUACCACCCUGGUGUGUUUGAGGUUCUAACCUAGGUCCAUUAUCUGGAUCGGGGACAGUGCAUGGUAGGCAGUUUGACUGGGGCGGUCUCCUCCCAAAGCGUAACGGAGGAGUUCGAAGGUACGCUAGUUACGGUCGGACAUCGUGACGAUAGUGCAAUGGCAUAAGCGUGCUUAACUGCGAGACUGACAAGUCGAGCAGAUGCGAAAGCAGGACAUAGUGAUCCGGUGGUUCUGUAUGGAAGGGCCAUCGCUCAACGGAUAAAAGGUACUCUGGGGAUAACAGGCUGAUACCGCCCAAGAGUUCAUAUCGACGGCGGUGUUUGGCACCUCGAUGUCGGCUCAUCUCAUCCUGGGGCUGUAGCCGGUCCCAAGGGUAUGGCUGUUCGCCAUUUAAAGAGGUACGUGAGCUGGGUUUAAAACGUCGUGAGACAGUUUGGUCCCUAUCUUCCGUGGGCGCUGCAGAUUUGAGGAAGCCUGCUCCUAGUACGAGAGGACCGGAGUGGACACACCUCUGGUGUAUCGGUUGUCACGCCAGUGGCAUUGCCGAGUAGCUAAGUGUGGAAGAGAUAACCGCUGAAAGCAUCUAAGCGGGAAACUCGUUUCAAGAUGAGAUCUGCCGGGGCCUUGAGCCCCCUAAAGAGUCGUUCAAGACCAGGACGUUGAUAGGUCAGGUGUGGAAGCGAAU
rnacentral:rRNA from 1 species